rnacentral:lncRNA from 1 species
CCCUUGACAGAAAGAUAAGAUAAAACUGUGUAUAAUAGACCCUUGUGGUCCGAUCCUCGAACCCUGUACAUGACGAAAGCAUUAGCACAGCAAACUGUCAUUCAUAUAUUUCUUCUAAAUUGUAAAGAGAGUAGUAUAUUUGAUAAUUUACCCCUUAAAAUAUGUCUAUAAAUGUAGAGAACUAGGUGAAUGUCCCUACUACUUUGUCC